UUUUUAUAGUUGUCUAAUAAUGUUUUAUCUACAUUUGUGAACCUAUACUAUAAAUUCAUAAAUCUAAUCAAUCAAAGAAAACCUAGGUAUUAGCAAAGUCAAAUCUCACCAUUUCAACCCCUUCCACCCAAACAUGAGGUCAUAGUUUUCAGUUGAACUCCAGGAGGUUAGGGAAGGAAGCUGAACCACAUGUAGCAAUUCUUGUUUCAACUACGGGGAAAGGCUUUAUGGGAAUUGAUAUGAUCCAAUUAGAGAAAAUCAUUUCACAUGAUCUUUAACAUUCAAUAAAUAGUCACUAGUGAAAUUUUUAUAUAUAUGCAUAUUCUGUAUAUAAUUUUUUUGAAAGGUCAUUAAGCAUUGUCAAAAUUCCAUGUACACAUGGUUUGUGUUGAUGUUUGGUAUAUGCCUAUAUGUGCACAAAAUACUGACAUGAGCCUAAGGUUAUUCUAUCUAAUGGUGUACACAGUAUGGUUUAACGUGGUAUGGUGAAAUUUUCAAACCAAAUUGACUAUUUGUAUAAAGAAACUAAAUCAACUUGAACUGAAAUAUUCUCAUUUGGG
rnacentral:misc_RNA from 1 species